AAUUAUAUAAAGCUUAAUCUAUUAGAGCGGGGGACCCGACCUGGUACUAUGUGCCUAGGGGUGAAUCCUUUUUGUGAAAAGGUAGGAUACUCUCAAAUCCGAAUCCGACAGCUAACCUCGUAUGCUCAUUGAGAGAAAGA
rnacentral:sRNA from 2 species